GAUGAACGCUGGCGGCGUGCUUAACACAUGCAAGUCGAACGGUGAAGGCGGAGCUUGCUCUGCUGGAUCAGUGGCGAACGGGUGAGUAACACGUGAGCAAUCUGCCCCUGACUCUGGGAUAAGCGCUGGAAACGGCGUCUAAUACUGGAUACGAGCUGCGAAGGCAUCUUCAGCAGCUGGAAAGAAUUUCGGUCAGGGAUGAGCUCGCGGCCUAUCAGCUUGUUGGUGAGGUAAUGGCUCACCAAGGCGUCGACGGGUAGCCGGCCUGAGAGGGUGACCGGCCACACUGGGACUGAGACACGGCCCAGACUCCUACGGGAGGCAGCAGUGGGGAAUAUUGCACAAUGGGCGAAAGCCUGAUGAAGCAACGCCGCGUGAGGGAAGACGGCCUUCGGGGUGUAAACCUCUUUUAGCAGGGAAGAAGCGAAAGUGACGGUACCUGCAGAAAAAGCGCCGGCUAACUACGUG
rnacentral:rRNA from 1 species